GAUGAACGCUGGCGGCGUGCCUAAUACAUGCAAGUCGAGCGAACGGACGAGAAGCUUGCUUCUCUGAUGUUAGCGGCGGACGGGUGAGUAACACGUGGAUAACCUACCUAUAAGACUGGGAUAACUUCGGGAAACCGUAGCUAAUACCGGAUAAUAUUUUGAACCGCAUGGUUCAAAAGUGAAAGACGGUCUUGCUGUCACUUAUAGAUGGAUCCGCGCUGCAUUAGCUAGUUGGUAAGGUAACGGCUUACCAAGGCAACGAUGCAUAGCCGACCUGAGAGGGUGAUCGGCCACACUGGAACUGAGACACGGACCAGACUCCUACGGGAGGCAGCAGUAGGGAAUCUUCCGCAAUGGGCGAAAGCCUGACGGAGCAACGCCGCGUGAGUGAUGAAGGUCUUCGGAUCGUAAAACUCUGUUAUUAGGGAAGAACAUAUGUGUAAGUAACUGUGCACAUCUUGACGGUACCUAAUCAGAAAGUCACGGCUAACUACGUG
rnacentral:rRNA from 1 species